UUGGACCUAUCAGGAGCUCUUGAUUUAACGAAACACCGUUUGACGUUACAGAAGAUGCAUCGAAAACCACUCUCAACUUCGAAGAAGGAUUAUCUGUGCGAAACAGACCAUGAUGUGGUAUAUAAUAUGGAUUUUUUGUUGGACAGCUGAUUGGAUAGGAUCUCUUAACAAACGAUGCUCCAAUGACAUGAAACGUUUUACAGCAGCAUUAUAAGAAUCUCCCAGAAUAGGGUUUCUAUGUUUGAAUGGCAAUGAAACCAUAAAUCGACCAUUCAAGGGUUUAGUUCAGAUUCGUUGAAGA